AUGAACAAAAAGAGCCAAAUAGAAAGGAAAAAUUAUAUCUACAACAAAAGCAGCAGACAGCUAAAUUCCACAUCACUGACUACUGAAGAAUAUCUCCUAGAAGCAAGAUCACUUGAACCAAAUUAAUUGAAGAUGGAUGUUCAGACCUUUCUCCUAUAUCCUCUGAUAUUGGGAAAGAAGCAAAUUUCAAAUCAGUGGAUUAAAAAGAGUCUUACUACUAAUCUUUAACCUGAUGCAGUAAGGAUUAACUCUAUGGAUGGAUUAAGGAGAAACAGAGAGAACAUUGACUGGGGCACCAUUCGGUUUCAAAGAAUGACAAGAAAGGAUGAAGAAUUGGCUGGAGGUAAAAAUCUCAUUGAAAAUCUUUGUCAGUGGGUGAAAUGUCCAGCUGUUAAGUGAAUUGGUAUGGUAUGGUGGCUAGUUCCAAAUGAAAUGGCUAAGCUUCACCCCUUUGAACACUCAACUUCUCAGGAACACCUCCGUAACCAAAUGUUUGGUGUUUUUCCUAUACACCAAGAAGGCAAUCAGUUCUCAGCAGAUUCUCCAGUGGACACGAGGUAUUUGUGCCUUCCGUUUUUUGUUGUUAUCUUAUUUCAGAGCAAGAAUGCUAUAUGAAGGUGAAGUCAGUGAUUGAGCUGAUGCAUCCACAAACCAAAGAACAACAAAUAUUGCCAGCAAAGCACCAGAAGCCUGGAGAGAGCAUUAUUUGUGUAGGAUCGCUCACCCUCAGGCACCAAGCCCUGGCUGACCCAGCUGGCCUUGCCCUGUCUUUUAUGUAACAAUGUGAAAACUGAAGAUCCCACUAAACGCCAAG
rnacentral:lncRNA from 1 species